UGAAACUAGUCCUUUAGCUUUCUCUGCAUUUCUGUAUGGAAACUUCAGCUGCAUAUUUACUCAUUAGAUCAGUAGAAGGUAUAUGUACAGAAUAAAUACCUACAACUGGAGCAAUUUGUCUUUCUGGAAUGUUAUUUUUUGGCAUAUUAUCUGCUAUAUCUGCUUGGAGCGUGAAAGAUACCUUUCCGAAUCACUCAUUUUGCCGAGAUGGAAAUAUUUGUGCAACUUCUCUGUUACCUUGGUUACUAGUAUUUAGUUUAGUGUUGCUGGUUCAUGUUAUGUGAUUAAUGAUUUUAAUGCUCUUAGAGGAAUGCAGUAUGUGCAUCUUUGUUUAAAUGAAUCAAUUAAGUUUUUUUUUCAUUGCUGAUACUUGUUGCCUUCUUGGAGAGUGACAUCUUACACACAGAAGCACAAUUUUUCUGUCAAUUUAUUCUGUCCUUUGUACUACUGUAAAGUGGAUAGAAUAUGAACAAGCACAAGUUCCAUCAGUGUCCUUUCCUGAGAUUGGUACAUAUUCUCAUUGUAGUCCAGAAAAGUAUGGACCUACUGGCUUAUGCUCUUUACAUGGGAUAAGCUCCAUUUGAACCAGACCACUUUGCUUUUAAUCAUCACUAGUCAAACAACAACACUUAUGUGCUAUGAUCCUGUAUGUGCUACACAACCUUCAUCAUUUCAGUACUUUUUGCUAACAUAGGCAGCUGCCUUAUAGCAAUCAUUCUUCUAACCAAGUCACUGAAAAGUUAGAUGUGAGUUCUAACUUCUAAGCAGAAGUAGGCGCUAUGUUUCCUCCCUCCCUCCCUCCCGAUUACUUAUAAAAUAUAAUAUGGGUUCAAUACAAUAAAUUCAUGUUUGGUUCAUCGGGAAAUGUGUUCUGCAGCUCUAACGAUCUGGUUUUGUUCUCUUCCUGCAGUCAAGUUUGUCAAAUUUAUCCGCAUUUCAUCAAUUUGCCUUCAUUCCUUCAUUUUUAUUUCUUUGGGAUACUGAUAGAAAAGGCAUGAGUUAUCCUCAUGUUUCAUGCCAUGAGUAAUAAAGGGUAAGGAUAAAAAGGAACACAAGUUAUAGAGUUCGAAAUACCCCCCUGGUCCCUCCCUUUGUGCCUUCUGUACUUAUGCACCAGUUCUCUAUGUGUGAUUCAAUUGAUUGAAGUGGCACCUCAUUAGAACUGUGCCAGUGGUAUAUGUCGACACUUGGGACCACCAGUGAGACAUUUUCAGCUGCAACGGUUUAAUGGUCUUCUGCACUUAAAGGAAUGAACCAUCAGGAAUAUCCCUCUUUAUGCUUUACUAUCACUGAUUCCACUAACCCUUCCAGUAAGGUCUUCCUUUAGCUACUCAUUGGGAACGGUAAGUUUGUAACAUAACUUUCUUUUUAUGCUUCAUCUUUCUUCUCCCUUCGAAACAGUAAGGCUCUCAUAGGUUUUAGUUGGAGAACGUUUGCUCUGUAUUAUGAUGUUUAUGAUAAUACCACAGAUUUAUUUCCCCAUUCACAAAUUUACUGUGUUUACUCCUAUGUGCUGAUGACUGUGCACGUAUGUGUAGCAUGGUAUGUCAAUUUACUAUCUAUUUUUUUCGAGAUACUUGCUUCAGUUUAUUUUCCUUAUAGGUAACCUGUCAGGUUUUGCAUACUGUUUGAACUGGAGGGUGGGCAGUCUUGCUAUCAACAUGUAAAGAGGUUAUCAAAAGAAGAAUCCAAAGCAUCAUCCUUUGCUCUUCCAUCUUUUGCAAAGCAGCAUCAGCUUGUGGGAGCAUAUUCAGUUGUAAGAGACUGGUCCUGGCAGCUAUUUAGAACUGUAGAUUAUAUAUGACCUGAAGCUUUCUGCUCUAGCGUCUGUGAACCUCUUUGACGCUUAGUUGCCUCUGGAUCUUUGCCAGUCUAGAGCCUUUUCUGAUGGAGGGGUACUACAUAAAAUUCUAAUGGAGGAGUACACACAGUGAAUUGACCUCGUUAACCAGAUAAUGUUAUAGGAAAAUAAAUGAAUCUGAUGCAGCUGGUAGGGGGGAAUGGAAGGCAUCAAAAAAAUUGGUGUCUUCACUGGAAGUAAAGGGUUUUAUGUGUUUUUAUGGUAAACAAGAAAAACUGCUUUGGUCUAAGAAUCUUUCCGUUGUCAAUAAAACUGAAGUUCCUUAGUCUCUUAUCCUUUUUCCCAGAAGUGUACACUAGUACAUGAUUUGUUCCUUUUCCAAUCAUCCUUUGUAAAUUGGUCGUUGGAGGCAUAUAUAAAGUAAAGUACAAAUCCAAUUGGAAUCAAUCAUGAAUAGCCAUCCCAAUUGCAUGAGCUACUUAUCUCAUGAAUGGAGGUUCUUCGUCCAAGCGCCAUGGCAUCAAUUCUUUUCUCAGUGUCCUUGGCAUCUGUGUUCAACCUCAAGUUGCACGCACAAUUUGCACUCCAGCUUUCUGUGGUUUUCACAGAAUAUAUGCUGCCUGAGCCUGCAAAUAAACUAUCACGGCGGCGACUAUCUUACACUUAUUGAUAGUUACUGUUCAGCGAUGCUCGUUGAGCAACUAGUCUGGUCUAUUGGUUAUGUGAUGCUCUUGCAGUUCAUGGGCACCGGGGAAGCACCUGAAAGGGUUCGUUCCUGAUAUGGUAUCUAAUGCCAAAUUUGCACUCGAGAUUUUUUACCUCGUUUAUAUUUGUGUAUAUGUGCUCUUAUGUGACACGUGGUUAGAUUUGUUUCAAAGAAAUCUGUGAUUAAAAUUAGAUUAUGUUGAGGUGGUCGAGAGGGACAUCUUCCGUAUUCUUUGUUGGGAGCAUCUUUGGAGCAUAUGGCAUUUCAAUUCCUGGUCAGUGCUUUUGAUUUUGCUCUCUUUUUCAUAUUCUGGUGAUCAGAUUAACAUAAGUCACUUUCGUGCACAAUAUUCCCCUUUAGAUUGUACAUAGGGGUGCCACAUUUCGCCUCCUGGUUAAUUGCAGAUGUAUUAUCACUUUCUCGGGUGUUAGGUGCAUCAGGAUUUGUCUGCCUGGUUUUGAUGGUACUGAUCAACAGCAUCACACCAAACUUGCUGAUGUUCACCUAUUUCUUCCGGAAAAAGUUGAUGAUGCUCUCUUUCCAGGACAACAUACACCAAAACUUGCACCAACUUAUGUUGGAUAUUGUCAUUCUUCCUCUUUUGUUUGAGUCUGACUAAUAUUCAUCACAUAGGUGCUGUAUGAGUAAUUGUUGUGUAACCUUUCUUCAUCCGUGGGUGCUCUUGAGUCUUGACUCUAGUUCCACUAGAUCUGAAAAAAAAUGGAUCGUGGGGUUCCCUACAUGGGAUGCAUGCUAGAUGAGCUAGGACUGGCACUAGACUGUCUGCUACGAGCUCCACCUGAAAGCCAAGAUUUAGCCUAGGGCCUGGGUUGGCGUUGAUUGCUGAGGUGGGUCUUCCUCAUAACAUACUAUUUUACCAUGAUUUGGCACAACAAAGAACUGGAAAAUUCUUGUAAAAUAUUAUGUGCCACACCAAUUGUUUCCCUAUCUAAGCAAUUUGACCUCGUGAAAUUCUUGCUUAACAGGUUUGACAUCGACGCGGUCAUAAAUCUUCUUCCACCUGAUACCUGAUAGGGGAGAAAACAAGAAGGAUGGUGAUAUGCAAGCUGCUCCGCAGAUCGUGUCUAAAGCUGGCUACCGAAAGUUGGGGGUGCAAUGGCAUCGCAACCCAACUCCGCACUCUGGAGAUGAGGAAUUUGGGAUAGCGAUAAGUCGAUGCGGAUGGAGGCGUUAACAUCUCUCCGCACGAUCACCAUUCCAGUUACAUACAUGCACUUGACCAGCAGUAAAGAAGCUGUUCUUUGUUCGCCGGAGCAAAUGCUCCGCUUUUUAGCAGAGAAAUUGUGCCAUUUUUUGCUGC